GACGAACGCUGGCGGCGUGCCUAAUACAUGCAAGUCGAGCGCAGGAAACUGACGGAACUCUUCGGAGGGAAGGCAGCGGAAUGAGCGGCGGACGGGUGAGUAACACGUAAGGAACCUGCCUCAAGGAUUGGGAUAACUCCGAGAAAUCGGAGCUAAUACCGGAUAGUUCAUCGGACCGCAUGGUCCGUUGAUGAAAGGCGCUUCGGCGUCACCUUGAGAUGGCCUUGCGGUGCAUUAGCUAGUUGGUGGGGUAACGGCCCACCAAGGCGACGAGGCAUAGCCGACCUGAGAGGGUGAUCGGCCAGACUGGGACUGAGACACGGCCCAGACUCCUACGGGAGGCAGCAGUAGGGAAUCUUCCACAAUGGACGAAAGUCUGAUGGAGCAACGCCGCGUGAGUGAUGAAGGUUUUCGGAUCGUAAAACUCUGUUGUAAGGGAAGAACACGUACGAGAGGAAAUGCUCGUACCUUGACGGUACCUUACGAGAAAGCCACGGCUAACUACGUGCCAGCAGCCGCAGUAAUAC
rnacentral:rRNA from 1 species